rnacentral:rRNA from 1 species
GUACACGCUGUGACUAGCAUAUCAAUAAGCGGAGGAAAAGAAACUAACAAGGAUUCCCCUAGUAACGGCGAGUGAAGCGGGAAGAGCUCAGAUUUGAAGUCUUAAAGGGUUUCCCUUUACGAAUUGUAGUUUAAAGAAGUGUUUUCUGUUGAGGUUUUGGUAAAAGUUCUUUGGAAUAGGGACAUCAUAGAGGGUGAGAAUCCCGUAUUUGACCUUUACUUUCAACUUUGUGAUACACUUUCAAGGAGUCGGAUUGUUUGGGAAUGCAGUCCAAAAUGGGUGGUAAAUUUCAUCUAAAGCUAAAUAUUGGCGAGAGACCGAUUAGCGAACAAGUACCGUGAGGGAAAGAUGAAAAGAACUUUGAAAAGAGAGUUAAACAGUACGUGAAAUUGUCAAAAGGGAAGCGUUUGACACCAGUGUUGUUUUUCUGAAAAUCAAUUAAAGAACUGUUUAUGCUAAGCUGUUUAGACUUUAUCAGCUAAUCUGUUUAGUUUUGAGCUUUUCUUUAAUGCACUUUUCAGUUAACAAGUCAACAUCAAUUUCUUUUGCUGUAAAAAAGCUUGAGGAAGGUGGCUUGAGAUUCGUCUUAAGUGUUUAUAGCCUCUUGCCUAUGCAGUCGGAGAGAUUGAGGUCUGCAGCGUAGAUCCUUCGGGGCUAAAUGCAUUUGUGCUAAGUUAUAGCAUUUUAUAGACAACUUGUUGACUAUGAUUUGUCUUGUAGCUUACUCGCUUAUGUUAUUUUACCUACGCUUAGGAUGUUGAGUCGUAGAGCACGCAG